rnacentral:rRNA from 1 species
AACGAACGCUGGCGGCAGGCCUAACACAUGCAAGUCGAGCGAAGCCUUCGGGCUUAGCGGCGGACGGGUGAGUAACGCGUGGGAACGUGCCCUUUGGUACGGAAUAGCCCCGGGAAACUGGGAGUAAUACCGUAUGUGCCCUUCGGGGGAAAGAUUUAUCGCCAAAGGAUCGGCCCGCGUUGGAUUAGGUAGUUGGUGGGGUAAUGGCCUACCAAGCCGACGAUCCAUAGCUGGUUUGAGAGGAUGAUCAGCCGCACUGGGACUGAGACACGGCCCAGACUCCUACGGGAGGCAGCAGUGGGGAAUCUUAGACAAUGGGGGAAACCCUGAUCUAGCCAUGCCGCGUGAUCGAUGAAGGCCUUAGGGUUGUAAAGAUCUUUCAGUGGGGAAGAUAAUGACUGUACCCACAGAAGAAGCCCCGGCUAACUCCGUGCCAGCCGCCGCAGUAACAC